GACCCUCAAAGGACCAGGUUGGUGGGAACACCUCGGCCAGACCUCCUCCAGGACCUCCUCCCAGGCCUGUCAGGUGCCAGGCCUGCUGCAGCGGCGUGGGCGGGGCUCCGUGGAGAGGCCCCCAGGGUCGUCCGGACUAGGCAGGGAACCAUGUGGAACCAGGUGAAGGCACCUCCUGGACGGCUGGUGCUGGACCCAGGGUACAGGGAUAAGGCCACUGCAGCCUCUGCCCCUGGACAGAGACAAAUCAGCAAACUCCACUCCUGAGUGACAGAGGCUGGAGGAAGGGUACGGAUCAGGGAGCCUCUGCGGGAGGAGCCGGCCUUGACCCAAGAUCUCACUGGAGUUACAGUUUGUGGUGUCAGCCUCCGUUCAAACCCAGCCUCCUUUUGCCAGUCACUUGGGCCUCUGAGCCUCUAGCCUCAGCCUCCAACCCGUGAACAGUGCUACCUCGAGGGGCAGUUCUGAGAGGCAACACGCCGGCCCUGACUGGCGCCUCACUCGGCACAGCCCUCUUGCUCUGCCCGCCAUGCGCCCUCCUGUGGCCCACUGGCCGCCAUCUUUGGCCAUCCUGCUGCUGGAGCCCAACCCAGCCCUCAAGAGAUGGUGGUGCCGAAAGUCGUGGAGGACCCAUGGGCUCCCCUCUGCCAGGGACGCCCCCUGUUUCCUUCCCAUUCUCUUCCCUGGGCACGCGCCCCAUCAAUGGCAAGACGUGGAUCCUGGCUGCUCCGCAGUGUCUGAACUGCUGUCUGGGUCCCCUGCCACUGCCCUCCCGGAGCCCUGUGUCCUGCGGACGCUCUUGCUGGGCUCCAAGAGGUGGGGACAGAGCCCAGCAGGAUGGCAUCACAGCUGGGUGCCGGCCUGUCCCCAGGCUCCUGGUCACUCAGCAGCCUGGACUCUCCUGGGUCACCAGGGCCACCAGGCGCCUCCUUGCUGUGUUUGUGCUGGGGUGAGCGUGCGCUUGUGCGUGCGCAGGUGGGAACGCGUGCUCUCAGGAGGAGCAGGGCAGGUCCUCUGUGCGGGGAGGGAAGGGGCCUCGCGGCCUGGGCUGAACAGGGCAGGACUGCAGCAUCCCACCGGGGUGACACGGGCUGGCAGGGCCAUGUGGCUGUUUGUUUGAUUUCCCCCGACUUCCAAACUAGUUGAAAUUACACACCAAGCACCGAUUUAAUUAAGUUUUCCGGUGUGUGGCAUAAUUAGUGAGACACACGUCGGAACGGGUGGGCGGGCACAGCCCUGCUCCUGCCUGUUACAAUUUUCAGCCCUCGGGCCACAAAACAUGGCGUUUGGGGGAUGGAGGAGCCGGGCUGCCUGGGUCUCCCUGUGUGGCCUCCUGUCCACUCCACCCGGGGAGUGACCUGCCGCUACCACGGGGCCACAGCUGAGCUCAGGUGAAGCCCGGGAGCCUGCCGCCCCCUCAGGAUGGGGCCUGACUGAUCACAGGGCUCAGGGACGGUCACAGGGCCCGUCUGCUCAGGUUCUGGGGCACGAUCACAUUACAGGUAGGCGCUGCCCCCAGGGCGUGAGCCCCAUGGCUCCAUGGUGUCCAGCCCCAUGGCGCGGGCGGCCCUCCUCCUGCAGACCUGGUCUCUCUCUGCUCAAGGCUGUGGUCACCCCAAGGCCUGCUGCCCGGGAAGCUCCACCACGUCAGGAGCCCAGGCUGCCUGGGAGGCGUAGACUGGGACUGUUGAGACCAAACCCAAAUCCCCUUCGGAAGCACCUUCUGGACUUUCCAGGCCAUGGGAGGGUGAGGCCUGCGCAGGGGAGCAGACCCCGCUCUGGCUGAGCAGGGAGGCUCCGUGGGAGCAGCCCCUUCUGAGCUUACGGCCCCUUGUCCUCGCGUGCCCUCUGCAGAGCGCUUUGCUCCCCGCUGCCCCCUGAAAUGGCCUCUCAGAGGCCUCCAACAGCAGCUUGGGAGCCAAACCCAAGGCACCCAUUCCUCCUUUCCUCCCUGGACUCCUGCAGUGUUCUCCCCGGCCUGUCCCUGUGCUCAGCUUGUGCUCCCCUGGCCGUCCCAUGUCCCUCUCAUUCACCUGAACAGUCUGGAGUUGCCAACCCCUGACCCUGGCCUGAGCCCAAGCAUGUGGACGACAGGCUGCUCCCGGCUCAGGGCUGCCCUCCCACUGCCCCUGCCCAGCCAGCUGUGCAGCCCCCUGGCCCUUCCUGACCACCAGGGCCCUGAGCUGGGACUGCCCACCUUGCACAGUGGGCCCAGAGCCCCCGGGCAGCCCCCGUGUCUCAACUCACCACGUGACCCCAGGCCAGGUUCAGGACGUGGGAUGGAAAAAAUGUGGACAUUUAUUAAGCCCUGACUGUGUGCAGGCCUCGUCCUCAGUACUUGACCAUCAUUGGAGGCCCCAGCUCACUCCUCCCACCACUGUCCUCCAGUCAAGAGGCCAAGGCUAGAGCGCUCGCCUCGCAUGGGCGAGACCCUGCGUUCAGUCCCCAGCACCCCGCCCCCCCAAAAAAAGGAGGCCAAGGCCAAGGCUGGAGGAUUAGGAUGCUUACUCAUGGUGACAUGGCUCUUAAGGGAUCCCAGUCCUAGCGCCUGUCACCACAGCAGGUGGCCUGCCCAACCUCCAUCCGAGCCUCUGUCCACCCUCCAUCCACCCUCCCUCCGCCUGACCCCGGGCCUCGUCCCUCUUGCUCUCCAUCCUCCCAGGGUUGCAGGCCCCGGACAUCUCAGACUCUGCGAUGCCCUUGAGCCUCGGCCUCUCUCCAGGUUGGCCUGGGGAUUCAGUCCAGGUGACACCUGCCCUGGCCCCUCCCCUUCCUCUUGCACUUGGCCCUGACCGCGCAGCGUCACCCACUCUGUGCACACCCAGUGCAGGCCCCAGGUCAGGGGCUCUGCAGGGUCUCAAGUGCUCUGUGCAGGGGAGGACCCAGCCACCUGAGGAGCACAUUCGGUGGGUGUGCCUCGGGGACACAACUCAUCUUCACAGCAGCCUUAGGAAGAAGACUCAUCUGUUCCUUGAACCUCCUUGGGGAAAGCCCUGUGCGUGCUGAGCCUGCACACACGACCCACAGUCCACACCAGAGGCCCCAGCUCUGUCCCCGGCCACAUCUGCCUGCUGCUGGAGGGGACAGGUGCGCGAUCCCGGGCCACAGGGCAGCAGCCCCACACGAUGACUCUUAGCACCUAGGGCCUCGCCUGUGUCCUGAAGCCAGGACCCAGGACCCGUGGUGACAGCCUCACCCUUCUGUCAAGCACCAGGCUGUGCCCAGUGAACUCCGACCCAUCCUGGGAGGCGACUGGGAGGGAGGAGAGAGUGUCUUUGGCACACCGGGCACCCUCGGGGUGGCUUACGACCCGUGGCCUUCUGCGGCCUCCCUGUCAGCCCAGUCAGGUGGGGGUGCUCCCAGGCUGCGGCAGGGGGAGGCCGGAGGAGAGGACGGGUCUGUGUGCUUCCUCGUGGCCAGGGCAGGCGAGCAAGGGCCAGUGGCCCUCCAGGUUGGGGUCGGGGUCCUGGCGGGAUGGCAGGCUCUGGAAACUGUCCUCUGCACCUCCAUCCCGCCCCCCAUCCUCUUCCUUUCCGAGGCAGGAUUCGGCCUCUUGAAAUUCUGCACACUAAUAAAAUUGUAACUAAUUUA